GUGAAAUGGUCGCGGCCGCAAGGCUGAGGAAAGUCCGGGCUCCACAGGGCAGGAUGCUGGCUAACGGCCAGUGAGGGUGACCUUAAGGAAUAGUGCCACAGAAAACAAACCGCCGUUGCUGAAAUAUGCAGCGGUAAGGAUGAAACGGUGCGGUAAGAGCGCACCAGCGGCAAGGUGACUUGUCGGCUCGGUAAACCCCAUCUGGUGCAAGACCUAAUAGGAGAAUAUAUGGAGUGGCCCGCUUCGUUCUCGGGUAGGUCGCUGGAGAUUCCAGGUAACUGGGAUUCGAGAUAGAUGACCAUUCAACGACAGAACCCGGCUUACGGCUUA
rnacentral:RNase_P_RNA from 1 species